rnacentral:rRNA from 1 species
AUUGAACGCUGGCGGCAGGCCUAACACAUGCAAGUCGAACGGCAGCACGAGAGAGCUUGCUCUCUUGGUGGCGAGUGGCGGACGGGUGAGUAAUACAUCGGAAUCUACCCUGUCGUGGGGGAUAACGUAGGGAAACUUACGCUAAUACCGCAUACGACCUACGGGUGAAAGCAGGGGAUCUUCGGACCUUGCGCGAUUGGAUGAGCCGAUGUCGGAUUAGCUAGUUGGCGGGGUAAAGGCCCACCAAGGCGACGAUCCGUAGCUGGUCUGAGAGGAUGAUCAGCCACACUGGAACUGAGACACGGUCCAGACUCCUACGGGAGGCAGCAGUGGGGAAUAUUGGACAAUGGGCGCAAGCCUGAUCCAGCCAUGCCGCGUGGGUGAAGAAGGCCUUCGGGUUGUAAAGCCCUUUUGUUGGGAAAGAAAAGCAUUCGGUUAAUACCCGAGUGUUCUGACGGUACCCAAAGAAUAAGCACCGGCUAACUUCGUGCCAGCCGCCGCCGUAACAC